rnacentral:rRNA from 1 species
UACGGGGGGGGCAAGCGUUGUUCGGAAUUACUGGGCGUAAAGGGCGCGUAGGCGGCCUGCUAAGUCACACGUGAAAUCCCUCGGCUCAACCGGGGAACUGCGUGUGAUACUGGCGGGCUUGAAUUCGGGAGAGGGAUGUGGAAUUCCAGGUGUAGCGGUGAAAUGCGUAGAUAUCUGGAGGAACACCGGUGGCGAAGGCGGCGAUCGUCGGACCAA